rnacentral:rRNA from 1 species
CUACGUAGGGGGCGAGCGUUGUCCGGAAUCACUGGGCGUAAAGGGCGCGUAGGUGGCCUGAUAAGGGUGUGGUGAAAGUCCGGGGCUCAACCCCGGAUCGGCCGUGCCGACUGUUAGGCUAGAGUACUGUAGGGGCAGGCGGAAUUCCGGGGGUGGCGGUGGAAUGCGUAGAGAUCCGGAGGAAGACCGGUGGCGAAGGGGGCCUGCUGGGCAGUUACUGACACUGAGGCGCGACAGCGUGGGGAGCAAACAGGAUUAGAUACCCGGGUAGUCCACGCCGUAAACGAUGGGUACUAGGUGCCUGGGGGAGCGACCCUCUGGGUGCCGGCGCUAACGCAGGAAGUACCCCGCCUGGGGAGCACGGCCGCAAGGCUGAAACUCAAAUGAAUUGACGGGG